rnacentral:rRNA from 1 species
UACGGAGGGUGCAAGCGUUAAUCGGAAUUACUGGGCGUAAAGCGUGCGUAGGCGGUUCGUUAAGUCUGUUGUGAAAGCCCCGGGCUCAACCUGGGAAUGGCAAUGGAUACUGGCGAGCUAGAGUGUGUCAGAGGAUGGUGGAAUUCCCGGUGUAGCGGUGAAAUGCGUAGAUAUCAAGAGGAACACCAGUGGCGAAGGCGAGUCCCUGGACAACACCUGACACUGAGGCACGAAAGCCGGGGAGCAAACAGG